UACAGAGGUCUCAAGCGUUGUUCGGAUUCAUUGGGCGUAAAGGGUGCGUAGGCGGCGGGGUAAGUCGGGUGUGAAAUCUCAGAGCUCAACUCUGAAACUGCACUCGAUACUGCUCUGCUUGAGGACUGGAGAGGAGACUGGAAUUCACGGUGUAGCAGUGAAAUGCGUAGAUAUCGUGAGGAAGACCAGUGGCGAAGGCGGGUCUCUGGACAGUUCCUGACGCUGAGGCGCGAAGGCCAGGGGAGCAAACGGG
rnacentral:rRNA from 1 species